GAUGAACGCUGGCGGCGUGCCUAAUACAUGCAAGUCGAGCGAACAGACGAGGAGCUUGCUCCUCUGACGUUAGCGGCGGACGGGUGAGUAACACGUGGAUAACCUACCUAUAAGACUGGGAUAACUUCGGGAAACCGGAGCUAAUACCGGAUAAUAUAUUGAACCGCAUGGUUCAAUAGUGAAAGACGGUUUUGCUGUCACUUAUAGAUGGAUCCGCGCCGCAUUAGCUAGUAGGUAAGGUAACGGCUUACCAAGGCAACGAUGCGUACCCGACCUGAGAGGCGGAUCGUCCACACUAGAGCUGAGGCACGGUCCAGACGCCUACGGGAGGCAGCAGUAGGGAAUCUUCCGCAGUAGGCGAGAGCGUGACGGAGCAGCGCCGCGUGAGUGAUGAAGGUCUUCGGAUCGUAGAACUCUGUUAUUAGGGAAGAACAAAUGUGUAAGUAACUAUGCACGUCUUGACGGUACCUAAUCAGAAAGCCACGGCUAACUACGUG
rnacentral:rRNA from 1 species